ACGCGAGUCCUACGUCAAGGAGCCGCCAGCCGCGUUGGCCCAGACUCUUACCAGCGGGCGCAGGAUAAGGCCCAGCCUUGAACGAACGCUCUAAAAAGCAGUUCAACAUGAUGACAUAGGAAGAGCCAGAACUCACCUCGUCCCAGAGACACACCAAGUCUACAGCUACUUAUGGUACAGUUCACUCCGAAAAUGACGUGAAGAUUAGCUGAGUAACUCCUUCACAUCAGCAAACACAUCAAAGCAGGGAGAGAAAGAGAAAAAAGAAGCGAAAAACAUAGCAACAAGGAUCAAAAUAAAUAACAAGGAAGCAGAGAGGAGAAGGAACGUGGAGGAGAGAGUGAGAAGACGAGCUGUCCAGGGAGAAGUGGAGGAGGAGGCACGCGGCUAUACCCCUCAAGUACUGCAAAACCACCUUUUUUCCAGAGUGCCCACCUGUAUAAAAUGGCUUUUAGUAAAAAGCCUCUGAAGGCCUUUUAUUUCCAAAACCACUGAAACAAGGAAGAAUAAAUCAUCCUGAGACUAAGUCCUCAUAGUUACCCUUGCAGAGCCCCCAUCACUAUCACUUCUAGCUUUAAUUUCCUUUAGUUUGCACUGGUGAGAAAAUUACCCAAGCAAACUCCCCCUAACCCCAUGUCUUCUCAUUAGACUAAAGAAAAGUCAGAGCUGUGACUCACUCUCUCCUCCCCCUGGUAAC